UCCCGAUCCCCCUUAUCUCUCCCACCUCGCCGCCACCCAUCGCCUCCUCUUCCUUCUUCGACACACCUCACCGCCGGCCCUCCCCCUCCUCUUCACCCACCUCGCAGCUCCGGAGGCUGCAGUAUCCGCAGCAUCUCCUACCCGCCCAUCCCUCUCGCCUCCCAUCUCUCUCUUCACAAUGCUCCUCGCUGCGCCACCGGCGACGGCCGAUUCAGGCGACGCUCGGCGAAUCCUGCCACCACGAAGCACAACCCGAGCUCUCCUCGCACCACGGCGCCCUCCCAUCCGGUUAGAUCCGGCGCUCGAAGCCACCAAAGCCCACCCGCGACCCCCCCAUGGCUAGGGUUUUGGGCAUAGGCAACGGCGCCGGUUGCCAUGUCGUCCUCCUCUCGCCCGAUGUGGAGGGAGGAAUGGCCAUUGGACAACCUUGCUGCUGCUCGGGAUGAAGCAGACAUGGAGCCAGGUUGAUGCAGCGCUAUGAGGCUUGGUCGCUUGGAUGCGGUCCUGGAGGCAUAAAACGCACAUGAUGUUCACAAGCAUGGUGGCAGUAAGGUGCGGAUGGAUCUAACUAAUGCUACCAAAUUGCGCGUAGAUCUGUUGACCGGUUCCUAAUGAGCUCCAAAACAGACAAGCGCCAUGAUGUACCAUGGCUUGAGGAGAUGCACAUGUUGGCAUUUUUUUGUGUAUUGCUGGAACAUGGUUUGCAUCACUACAUUCUAAGGUCAUUUGCUUUCUUUCCCCCCUGUAAUUUAAUGCAAUGCAUGACUCCUUCCUUUCUAAUGUUGGUUGGUAAUGUAUGAGCCUAACCUGAAAUUCGCACACAUCAGCAUCAACCAAAAAUCAUAGAUGCAACAUUAAUUGAAAAAGGCAUUCCAUCAAAAGAUAAAAAGAAUCUGAGUAUCAGCCUGCUAGGAUCCCUCCCUAUGUUUUUCAUUGCUUGUUGUGAUGAUAUAAUGGAGAAGCCCUUCCUUGAGUAAACUAAUACUACUGCAGUUACUAAUCCUUUCUGUAUUGCUACAUGUAGUGUACAAUGUGAAGGUGGACAGUUCAGCAUAAUUACUAACGGAAUUUGAUACCUUUCAACGAAAUGAUUCAAAAGAUAUAUGGAUGAUUAUAUGGGUGCGUGGCAAGUAUACUGCAAAGAUGAUGAUGUUCCAGUUCAUGAUGAUGAUGAUGGAUGCUUUUGGUUUUGUUAAGUACUAGGGAUGUUGUUGAUGUUGCUAGAUGAUGUUCCUCAGUUACAUUUUAGUUUAGUUGUAGGGAUGUUGAUGGAUUCUUUCAGUUAAAGUUUCGCUUCGCUGUGAAGAAAAUAUUUAGAUUAUGCAGCAUAUUUGGAUGAUGUUCCUCAUGUAAUAUCCACUACUGUAAUCCAAAAGUUUUAUCCAAUAUAUGAUUUCUUCCCCUCCUGA